UCCCUGGUAGCUCAGUGGUAGAGCUGACGACUGUUAAUCGUCCGGUCGCUGGUUCGAAUCCGGCCCAGGGAGCCA
rnacentral:tRNA from 1 species